UUAGUUUCCGCGGAGUCCGCUGCGCGAAAGACUGGCGCGUGGUGAUGCAGUAACGGUCCGCGUCGGCUCGACUGAUCGUGACAGUCGGCACCGAGGAGAGUCGCUUUCGCGGCACGAAGUACGCAUAGCGUAGAGGAAUCUGGAGGGUACGAAGUACCAGCGAGAGAGUUCGAGGGUGGACUCGUCGAGAGAGUGAAGAACUCGCGUGAGAGCGAAAGCCUCGGGCUUGGCGUAACCAGCGAGGGACCCUUCGUGCCGGCCGCGUUGCUCCGAGGGUGAGAGACGUGAAGACGACGUUGAACGUCGGGCUACGCCGAAGGGGUGCAGAACAGUGCCAACGGCGACUCGAGGUGCGAGGGAGAGGGCGAAGGAGGGUUGAAAGAGAGAGACGGAGAAAAAUAGAAGGGGAGGGAAGAGUGGGCGAGAGUGAACAGUGGUAGGAGGAGGAGGAGGUAGAGCGAAGGAGGACAUAGCUUCGAGGGAGAAGGAACGCGGCCACUGAGGGAGGGUUGUGAAGCGAGAGGGACAGAGAGAGGGAUAAAGAGAACGAUCGUUCCCGUGUGCGCGCGCGUGCGGCUGUGUUCGUCCGCGUCCGAUUUCGCGUGUGUGUUAGCGCGCGCGCGUGCGUGUGCCUGUGUGGUGCCCGCGUGUCCGUGAGCGUAUGCACGCGCGUGCGCGCGCGCGCACGCGUGGAGUGUGUGGGUGCGUGCGUGUGUGUGCGUGUAUGUGUACGAACGUGCGGCAGUGAGGGAGCUGUGAGAGAGUUCCCGAGGAAGGGAUAAAGGGAGUGGAGAAAAGAAAGACUGGUCGCGCGAUGCGGCGCGGCGCGGCGGCUUAGGAAGCAGCCAAGGGUGGCGCAGCCAAAGCGCGGGAGAACGGCGCCGAGACUGCCGAGAGAAGUGGUGGCGGACGCUUACGUGAACGGAACCUGGGGUGUUAAGGAGAAUAGCCCCGCGUCAACACGGGCGACGCGGACCGCGGACGUGGCGCGCGGCGCGCGGCGGCCGGACACGAACGCGUCGACCGCGUCGACGGGCCUGUCCCCCGAGGAAGGGACCGUCGCGCGCAACGCGAUCAAUUUUUGUUGCGGCGCGCGGGCGGCUUAGACCGUAGUAGAACGGACGCGAGACGAAAUGACGAGGCAACCGAGGUACCGAUAACCGGCCGGAUAAUGUUGUCGCAGAGCAAGUUUUACGCUCUCUUCAUCCACUACACGUUCGUGUAGCGCGACACGGGGCGGGUCCUUGCCGCUGCGGUGAAGAAUAGAGAAGGAGGAGAAGGAGGUGGUGGAGUAGGAAGAGGCAGAAGAAGAAGAACACGAGGGGAAGGAAAAGAUCUUAUCACGGUGAAGGAGAAUUGAAAGGAAAGUGAAGCAAGAGAUACGGAGAAGGGAAAAUCAUUCGAAACUAAAGAGAUAGCGCCUCGUACCAGCCGUCGUGCGUGGUCGCCAUCGUUGGCCGAAGGCUGAAGGAAAAGAAGUAAGAAAAAGGAAGAGAUAAGAAAGAAACGGAAUUCGUGGCGUGGAACCGAAGGAACGGAGAGGGGCCGUACACGCGUGUUAUACACGGCGACACGCGUAUAGGCACGCAGGUGGAGGGACAUCGCGCGAGGCGAAAUUUUAGCGCCACGCGUCUCUCGUCGGUCGUUCUUCUUCUGCAUCGUCGGUGUGAAAGUGUAUAUCUUAAGUGUGUCGUCUCACGGUGCUCGGUUGUGCUACCCUUACAUCUCGAGCAAGGCCCGCGGAGGUAUCCCAGAACCCGCCCCCGCCCCCCCGCCACCCUCCCUCUCUCUCUCCGCUCUCUCGACGUCGCAGUGCCUCUCUUCUCUCCAUAUCGCUACGUUGCGCUUCUCUUUUACGUUCCCAGCGGUGACUAUCUACGCUGGAGAGUGUUCGACCUCCUCAACCAUAAAAAUCGACCGACUCGAAGAUUAGACUAUGUUAUUUCGGAUAACGGAUUGAUCGCACCCGUCGCUUCAUUUACACGUCGGACAUGAAAAAUCUUGGUUCGCGUUGGACGGUCCCCGACAUAGCACGCACUGCCGCAGCGCGUUCGUCAUUUCUCGUCGCCAUUUCGUUGGAACGAGAUUCAGGUAGUAGCAGCAGCAGCAGCAGCAGCGGCAGCAGCAGCAGCAGCAGCAGCAGCAGCGGC